rnacentral:rRNA from 1 species
AGAGUUUGAUCCUGGCUCAGAAUCAACGCUGGCGGCGCGCUUAACACAUGCAAGUCGCACGAGAAAGCAGUAGCAAUACUGUGAGUAAAGUGGCGUACGGGUGAGUAACACGUGGAUCAUCUACCUUUUAGUGGGGAAUACCUCCUGGAAACGGGAGACAAUACCGCAUAAGCUCGUAAGAGGAAAGCAGCAAUGCGCUGAAAGAAGAGUCCGCGGCUGAUUAGCUAGUUGGCGGGGUAACGGCCCACCAAGGCGAAGAUCGGUAGCCGGCCUGAGAGGGCACACGGCCACACUGGCACUGAAACACGGGCCAGACUCCUACGGGAGGCAGCAGUGGGGAAUCUUGCACAAUGGAGGAAACUCUGAUGCAGCGACGCCGCGUGAGCGAUGAAGCCCUUCGGGGUGUAAAGCUCUUUCAACGGGAACGAUAAUGACGGUACCCGAAGAAGAAGCUGCGGCUAACUACGUGCCAGCAGCCGCGGUAAUACGUAGGCAGCAAGCGUUGUUCGGAAUUACUGGGCGUAAAGAGUGUGUAGGCGGUGUUCUAAGUCUGUCGUGAAAUCUCCCGGCUUAACUGGGAGGGUGCGGCGGAAACUGGAGUGCUAGAGGAUGGGAGAGGUAAGCGGAAUUCCUGGUGUAGCGGUGAAAUGCGUAGAUAUCAGGAGGAACACCUGUGGUGUAGACAGCUUACUGGACCAUUUCUGACGCUGAGACACGAAAGCGUGGGUAGCAAACAGGAUUAGAUACCCUGGUAGUCCACGCCCUAAACGAUGCAUACUUGGUGUGAGCGAUUCAUUUCGUUCGUGCCGGAGCUAACGCGUUAAGUAU